AUAAAACACUCAAUCUUUUGCCUUUAUAUUUCUUCUUCGUCUGUUCGAUUUCAAGCGUGUGGGAAGUCAGUUAAACCUGUCUGGAGGCAUAAAAAUAAGAAGCACAAACCCCAUGUGUCUCAAAAACAUCUAUUUUUUCCAAACUCUUCUUUUUCCUUAUACUCAUAAUUAAUACGUGUCUAUUUUGUCGCACCAACCUUCAAUCUCAAACAUAUUAAUUCCUAAUUCGACCGUUCCACUCCCAAAUUUUAACC
rnacentral:lncRNA from 1 species